rnacentral:rRNA from 1 species
UACGAAGGGUGCAAGCGUUGUUCGGAAUUACUGGGCGUAAAGAGCGCGUAGGCGGUCUAUUAAGUCAGGCGUGAAAGCCCUGGGCUCAACCCAGGAAUUGCGCUUGAUACUGAUAGGCUCGAGAUUCAGAGAGGUGAGUGGAAUUCCUAGUGUAGCAGUGAAAUGCGUAGAUAUUAGGAGGAACAUCAGUGGCGAAGGCGGCUCACUGGCUGAAUACUGACGCUAAGGCGCGAAAGCGUGGGGAGCAAACAGG